rnacentral:ncRNA from 1 species
UGUCUUCGGGGCAGGGUGAAAUUCCCGACCGGCGGUAAAGUCCGCGAGCGGAGGCUUCGGCCAAUGCAUGAAUCGGUGUGAUUCCGAUACCGACAGUACAGUCUGGAUGGAAGAAGAU